AGGUUAGGGGUGUUAAGACACCGCCCUUUCACGGCGGUAACACGGGUUCGAAUCCCGUACGGG
rnacentral:tRNA from 1 species